GAUGAACGCUGGCGGCGUGCCUAAUACAUGCAAGUCGAGCGAACGGACGAGAAGCUUGCUUCUCUGAUGUUAGCGGCGGACGGGUGAGUAACACGUGGAUAACCUACCUAUAAGACUGGGAUAAAUUCGGGAAACCGUAGCUAAUACCGGAUAAUAUUUUGAACCGCAUGGUUAAAAAGUGAAAGACGGUCUUGCUGUCACUUAUAGAUGGAUCCGCGCUGCAUUAGCUAGUUGGUAAGGUAACGGCUUACCAAGGCAACGAUGCAUAGCCGACCUGGAGGGUGAUCGGCCCACCGUGAAAUUAGACAAGGUCCCGGCUCCCAACGGAGGCAGCCGGAAGGAAUUCUUCCGAAUUGGCCGAAACCCUAACGAGCCAACGCCGCGUAAUUAAUAAGGUCUUCCGGUUCGUAAACUCUGUUAUUAGGGAAGAACAUAUGUGUAAGUAACUGUGCACAUCUUGACGGUACCUAAUCAGAAAGCCACGGCUAACUACGUG
rnacentral:rRNA from 1 species